rnacentral:rRNA from 1 species
AAAUUGAAGAGUUUGAUCAUGGCUCAGAUUGAACGCUGGCGGCAGGCCUAACACAUGCAAGUCGAACGGUAACAGGAAGCAGCUUGCUGCUUCGCUGACGAGUGGCGGACGGGUGAGUAAUGUCUGGGAAACUGCCUGAUGGAGGGGGAUAACUACUGGAAACGGUAGCUAAUACCGCAUAACGUCGCAAGACCAAAGAGGGGGACCU